GACGAACGCUGGCGGCGUGCCUAAUACAUGCAAGUCGAACGCUUCUUUCCUCCCGAGUGCUUGCACUCAAUUGGAAAGAGGAGUGGCGGACGGGUGAGUAACACGUGGGUAACCUACCCAUCAGAGGGGGAUAACACUUGGAAACAGGUGCUAAUACCGCAUAACAGUUUAUGCCGCAUGGCAUAAGAGUGAAAGGCGCUUUCGGGUGUGGCUGAUGGAUGGACCCGCGGUGCAUUAGCUAGUUGGUGAGGUAACGGCUCACCAAGGCCACGAUGCAUAGCCGACCUGAGAGGGUGAUCGGCCACACUGGGACUGAGACACGGCCCAGACUCCUACGGGAGGCAGCAGUAGGGAAUCUUCGGCAAUGGACGAAAGUCUGACCGAGCAACGCCGCGUGAGUGAAGAAGGUUUUCGGAUCGUAAAACUCUGUUGUUAGAGAAGAACAAGGACGUUAGUAACUGAACGUCCCCUGACGGUAUCUAACCAGAAAGCCACGGCUAACUACGUG
rnacentral:rRNA from 1 species